rnacentral:rRNA from 2 species
CUAUACAUGCAAGUCGAACGCACUCUCGUUUAGAUUGAAGGAGCUUGCUCCUGAUUGAUAAACAUUUGAGUGAGUGGCGGACGGGUGAGUAACACGUGGGUAACCUGCCCUAAAGUGGGGGAUAACAUUUGGAAACAGAUGCUAAUACCGCAUAAAACCUAACACCGCAUGGUGUAGGGUUGAAAGAUGGUUUCGGCUAUCACUUUAGGAUGGACCCGCGGUGCAUUAGUUAGUUGGUGAGGUAAAGGCUCACCAAGACCGUGAUGCAUAGCCGACCUGAGAGGGUAAUCGGCCACACUGGGACUGAGACACGGCCCAGACUCCUACGGGAGGCAGCAGUAGGGAAUCUUCCACAAUGGACGAAAGUCUGAUGGAGCAACGCCGCGUGAGUGAAGAAGGUUUUCGGAUCGUAAAACUCUGUUGUUGGAGAAGAAUGUAUCUGAUAGUAACUGAUCAGGUAGUGACGGUAUCCAACCAGAAAGCCACGGCUAACUACGUGCCAGCAGCCGCGGUAAUACGUAGGUGGCAAGCGUUGUCCGGAUUUAUUGGGCGUAAAGCGAGCGCAGGCGGUUUCUUAAGUCUGAUGUGAAAGCCU